rnacentral:lncRNA from 1 species
UCUAUGGCUUGCUAAACUAUAACACAUUUACGACUUGCCAAACUAUGACAGGUUCUAUAACCACGACCGUGCUAACCACAAUAGUCCUGUAUGUAAAUUAUAUUCACGGCCGUACAUUGCCACAAUGACCCCUACAAUCAUAUCGCGUAAUCACUCUCAUUAGAGAGUACGUUGUCAUCCACAAGGAGCGGUCAUCUCACGUCUUUUCAGACCAAAUGAGGGAGAAACAGAAUCUCUUCAGAGAUAAA